GUGAAAUCAUAUGGUACUUGUCUUUCUCUGACUGGCUUAUUUCACUUACUACCAUAAUAAUCUCCAGGUCCAUGCAUGCUGUGGCAAAAGGCUACCCAUAUUUCAAGUGCUCAGCAGCCUGGCUACCAUAUUGGACAGUGAACCUUUAGAAGUCUAUCUCCAAUAAUUAUGUAAACUGUUUCAGGAAUACUCGUUGUUAAAGAGAGAGUGGAAGAGAGGGAAACAUCGACAGACAAAUUAUAGGAAGAUCUCCUAAGCCUGAAUGAGGGGCCAGAAAAAUGGAAGAAUGCUUUCAGAAGGCACCAGCACAUUACAGUUCUACAGCCACACGUUAAAUAAGGGUUUGGACACUGUUACAUUGACACUGCUGAGCAGCAACAAUGGAAGAAGGAAGUGAGGAAGUGACUACAGGAAUCCAGGGACGAGAAAUUGUUGCUUAGACCCCGUGACAGUAAAAGAGGCAAGAAGUGAUGGAUUCUGGAUGUAUCUGAAGGUAUAGACUUUGCUGAUCAAUUGGAUUUAGGUAUGAGAGACAAGAGGAGCCAGCAUAACUCCAAAGACUCAGCAUGAGCAACUGGAUAUAUUGUCAAUAUUUGCAUUUUACAAGAAAGAUAACUAGAUAUUAUUCCAAAGCGUAUAGUCUUCCCACAAUGCUUCAUUGAGGAAAAAGGCAACUGAAAUUAUGUGCAUAUAGCAUCUACCACACGAUUACAGACUUUUCAUUUUACAAAUGAAGGUUUAAUAAUUGGUAAUAUCACCCUGACUUAUGGGAUUUAUUGUUCAACAAUAAAUUAUUGACACACAUGGUAUAGGCUGGAAAGAGGAUAGGAAAUUUAUAGAUGACAGAAUCAUAUCAGGUUAUCUAGGGAUACUUGGGUAGAGCUCCACAUUCUUGAGGCUGAUGGCAUGAUAAAUUAUCCAUAGAAUCUCCUUGGAAACCAAUGUUUGACAGAAGGAGAUGGAGAACAGACUUUCCUACGAUUAGAUAGGCAAACACUGUUUUGCUCUGGCUUCUUCG